AUUGAACGCUGGCGGCAGGCUUAACACAUGCAAGUCGAGCGGGGUGAUGGUGCUUGCACUAUCACUUAGCGGCGGACGGGUGAGUAAUGCUUAGGAAUCUGCCUAUUAGUGGGGGACAACAUCUCGAAAGGGAUGCUAAUACCGCAUACGUCCUACGGGAGAAAGCAGGGGAUCACUUGUGACCUUGCGCUAAUAGAUGAGCCUAAGUCGGAUUAGCUAGUUGGUGGGGUAAAGGCCUACCAAGGCGACGAUCUGUAGCGGGUCUGAGAGGAUGAUCCACCACACUGGGACCGAGACACGGCCCAGCGUCCUACGGGAGGCAGCAGUGGGGAAUAUUGGACAAUGGGGGGAACCCUGAUCCAGCCAUGCCGCGUGUGUGAAGAAGGCCUUAUGGUUGUAAAGCACUUUAAGCGCGGAGGAGGCUCUUUUGGUUAAUACCCAAGAUGAGUGGACGUUACUCGCAGAAUAAGCACCGGCUAACUCUGUGCCAGCCGCCGCUGUAA
rnacentral:rRNA from 1 species